rnacentral:rRNA from 1 species
GACGAACGCUGGCGGCGCGCUUAACACAUGCAAGUCGAACGGAAAGGCCUGCUUUCCCUUGUGGUUUGCGGGUACGCGAGUGGCGAACGGGUGAGUAACACGUGAGUGAUCUGCACCCAACUUGGGUAGAAGCCCGGGAAACUGGGUCUAAUUCCCGAUAGGACUGCAGGGUGGUGACGGGGGUGGUAAAUGAGCUUCUAGUGGUUGGGGGUGAGCUGGCGGACUAUCAGCUUGUUGGUGGGGUAAUGGCCUACCACGGCGGGGACGGGUAGCCGGGCUGGGAGGGUGGACGGCGACAUUGGGACUGGGAUACGGCCCAGACUCCUACGGGAGGCAGCAGUGCGGAAUAUUGGGCCAUGGGCGGAAGCCUGCUGCAGCGACGCCGCGUGGGAGAUGUCGGCCUUCGGGUGGUAAACUCCUUUCGAACGCGAGAAAGCCACCUGGUUGGAAGGGUGGUGACGGUAGUGGUAGAAGAAGCACCGGCUAACUACGUG